rnacentral:rRNA from 1 species
CAGUCGCCGCGGUAAUACAGAGGGUGCGAGCGUUAAUCGGAUUUACUGGGCGUAAAGCGUGCGUAGGCGGCUUUUUAAGUCGGAUGUGAAAUCCCUGAGCUUAACUUAGGAAUUGCAUUCGAUACUGGGAAGCUAGAGUAUGGGAGAGGAUGGUAGAAUUCCAGGUGUAGCGGUGAAAUGCGUAGAGAUCUGGAGGAAUACCGAUGGCGAAGGCAGCCAUCUGGCCUAAUACUGACGCUGAGGUACGAAAGCAUGGGGAGCAAACAGGAUUAGAUACCCCGGUAGUCCCUGUCUCUUAUAC